AGAGACAGUUCACCCAAAUAAGAAAAUUCUGUCAUAAUUUACUCACCCUCAUGUCAUUCAGAACCUGUAUGGCUGUUGCUAUCCAAAGAAUUGUGGUGACCAACAAAAAAAAAUGUUCUCAAAUAAUUUAAUAAUUUGAAUUUCUCAAAUUAUAUUUUAUGUUCCAUAGAAAAAAAAAUUUGGCGAACAAACCCUUUCCUAAUUCCUAGUAGCGUUCACCAUUCACACUAAUGCUUCUCAUUGCUAAUUCUGUCUCUAACCUGGCGUUUGUGUUACAUCUCUCCAGAUUCUAUCUCUCUCCUUCCAUUUGCUUUUAGUGCAACAUAUGGAUUUCCUUUUUGGACUGGAUAUCAGCUUUUCACAGCCUGCUAACCAUUCACUCCAUGCCAAUAUUUCAUUCAAGCAUUUGGCACUUUCAUUAAUAAUGAAUUGAUUCUGCUCAUUAGGUCUCAAAUUCCAGGCAAAACUCUAAACAUGCCAUUUUUCAUACCUUUAUAUUUGCCUAUAAACUGGACCAUAGACCAGGCCACUUACAUUUAAAGGGCGAUGCUGAAUACUUUCCCGUAAUGCAAUCACUUUAAUUCAUUUGAAAACUGUAUCAUAUCUGUAGGAUAUACCCAGUCCCAUUGUUUGAAUAAGCGAACAAAGAAUUUACUGUAAAUCAAAAUGUUUCCUGUAAACUGGAUCACUGACUGUUCUAGACUUUCACUUUCUUUCCCCUAGUUAGAGUUUGGCUUGUUCUGUUUGUCUCUUCUGAUGUUAUCUUUGGACAGCUCUGUCUGUUCAGGAUCAUUUCCAAUCUCUGCAUAUCUUUUUUUUUUCUCUCCGUUCUCUGUGUCCAGGGUUGUAUAUCUAGUGUUGAGGACUGGGUCCUAAGGAACAGUGGAGUUAUUCUGGGAGUCUGUGUUGGAAUAGCAGUGAUCGAGCUUUUAGGGAUGAUCCUGUCCAUGUGCCUCUGCAAAAGUGUCCAACAGGAGGAUUACACCAAAGUACCCAAAUACUGAGAGCAAACCCCCCCCUCAGUGACUCAGUCACACAUCAGAAAACACCAGUGUUACAACAACUGGAACAAAGCAGACCAGACGACAUCCGAUCACGCACACACACACACACAACGUUCUUCACUUUAUUAUCCCCUUGUUUAAGAUCAAUGUUUUCAGUUGAGAAUUUCUUUUUCUUUUUAAGAAACUAGUGAUCUUUUUCUUGUUAGUGCUCUGCAGGGUCUGAAUAGCUUUAUGUUUGGUUUCUCACAUACAUAUACUGUACGCUGACUGUUGCAUUUAUGGUUUUCAUUGUUAGUCGAAUCUGAGAGCACUUUAGUGAAUAGAGAGUUCGAAAUGGCAAAGAGCUAUUAGCUACUUUUAAAAUAUUUUUUAUAAUCUAGAGGGGAAAAUAAACUUUUUUUUUUUUCUUUUUUUUUACCUAUUAUAAUUUUUUAUUUGUAUGAGAAUUGUGUACUUUCUAUUCAGUUAUGUGUAUAUAAAUAGGAUUGACACUUCAAUUAGGUUUAUUCUUACUGAGUAACUACAUCCUAGUUAUGGCAGCACUUAAUGAUGGCUUUUCUGCAUGCAAGCGAAGUGUUAUUAGCCGGGGCUGGGUCACUCAGGGCGGAGGCAGAUGCGGUGUGGGGA
ensembl:lncRNA